AGUGACAGCAGCUUGUUAAGGCUAAUGAACGGCUGAAUUUCCUCUGCCGGGAUCCAAAGCAGGAUUUGCCAGCUUGAGGCUGAGAUGUAACAGUCUCUGCUUUAGCAAAAGAGGUUUGGCUUUUGGUAUAAGGAGCCGAGUGGCAAGGCGGAUCCUUUAACUGUACCAUUGUUGCUAGUUCACUUCUGGUCAGAGGCUGUGAGUUUUCCUCCAGGUAUUGGCGUCUGGUGUCUCUGUGUCCACACAUGCAUUCUUGUCCAAGGACGCUAGCAGAUGCUUGACUCUGUCUCUCUGUAAACACAUACACAGUUCACAUAUUUUUAGAAUAAAGUCUUUCUUCAAUGCAUCCUUUUCCUUAUCCUUAACGAGAGUGUGUCUCAUGAAGGGUCUCACUGGAUCUUUUUCUUCCUUUUAUUUCCAAUGCUAAUUAAACCAAAAUCUUCUGAAAUAGCCUUCAUUUCACACUGUCAGCCCACUGGCCUGGGCUGCCAGGUGCUAUAUCAGCCAGGAAAACAAAGCAAACUGUAGGGUCUGUCCAUCCGUAGGUUUGCCUCAGUCCCCAAUUCGCAGAUAGCCUUGUCAUGAAUUAGAAUUUCUUGGCAACAGCACCACCCAGGGAAAUUUGUAGACACAAAGGAGCCUUGCUAGCCACACUGAAAGGAUAAAAUAACUGUUUUUUUUUGGUAUGUGAUUUGUGUGUUCUUCAGUUACUGUAAAUCUGUUUCUUUAUUUGAAACAGCAACUUGGUAGAUGAAAUAAAAAUAUAACUGCCCGUUACCCAGAAUUUAUCUUUAUGAAGAUGCAAUCACUAAAUAGAUGUAACUCUACAAAUGAAAGCACAUGUGACUGCAAUCAAUCACACACUUAGCCUUUAAUAGAUUCAUUUCCAUGUUCCUUUAACAGACACAUCUUUGUGUAGAUUUAGGGGCUUCAAACAUUAUCAUUCAGUCUACCUGUUUGCAGUUUGGUAUUUUAAAGUGGGCAAACAUUAUAAUGCAGUUAUUUUUUACUACAUCUGUCCUUAGUAGGGGGAAAAGGAGGUCACUAUUCUUUGUUCUCCAUGAACUUCCCACCCCCACUCCUUACCCUGAGGAGAAUGGGAUGUUGGGGUCCCAUCCAUUUAAAAGGCAGAGCAGAAGAUGCAAGAUGACAGCCUUGCCCUGAAAUGAUUUAUGUAUGGGUGUGUCAGAGACCUUAAGCAUCCAAAUGUGGGCUGCUUCUUUCUGCCAGCCCAUUCUAAACAUAAAUGCCAGUGGGGGCUAAUUUGCCUCUCUACUUAAAUGGAGAUAGUUCAGAGAGGGUCCUAAUGGGGCCUUUAAUAGCCAUUCUUUUAUGAAUCUUCACAUUGUACUCUCUUCAGAGAAUUCUUGCGUUUUAACUUUUGGAGUACAAGAAGACAUUGCAAUCUUCUUUAAUUGCUCUCUGUGCCUGUUGAGGAAAGAAGAAUACAAUUUCCUCUGGCCAGUCCCAUCUGGCUCAAGUUGAUAGGAUAGCUGGUCUGAUUCCAGACGGGGUCGGUGGAUACCCCUUAUCUUUUCAUUUUAUAGUAUUGUGCAAUGGGCUUUUAAUUAUCUUUGCUGGACCCCACGACUGGCAAAUGCAGAAAAUCGCUCUGUGAUUCCAGUUCACUCGAUAUAUCAGUUAGCCUAUGUGUUAGAACUGCGAUUUGCUGAAAGUUUAGGACAGCUCCCCAACUUAACUUGAAUGGUGCCAGAGGAUAUUUCCCUGGGUUUCAGGCCCUCAUUUUUUUCUAACCAGAAAUAAGCAACAAGCAAGAUGGGCUUUGGGGUUGUUCUACCAUCACUUCAGCUGAAUAUGUCCUAAACCCCUAACUCAUCAACUUCUUCC
rnacentral:lncRNA from 1 species